CUUACUUCUUGGCUCUGAUGGCCUGUCGUCGUUCACAAUUUUUGGUGUUAGGUUUGUGUGUUGAAUUCAAUCUCCGUCGAGGUUUGUUCUGGAUUUUAUGGUUAAUCUGAAUACGAUUGUAGUUAUGGAGUCGGCAUCUUCGCUAUGGAUUUCUCCACUGCCGCCGUAGCUUCGUGUUCCUCCCGUCUGUUCCGCCGCGGAUUUUGCAGAAACAAAGAGGGAUCUGCCGAUGCCACACUGCAGGGAGAAAAGUUGGGGUCUUUUGGAAGCGUGGAUCCAUAGGAGUAUGGCAUACUUUCUUCUCUAGGCAACUCAGCUGCUGAUCGUGCAACUUUUUCACGAAAACAAGUACCUGCAAGAUCGUGCAACUUCUUCACAAAAACAGCUGCUGAUGAUAGUUUGGUCU